AUAUAGGUUUCAGAUGUACAGUUCUAUAAUACAUCAUCUUUAUAUAGCAUUGUGUGUUCACCACGCAAAGUCCAGUCUCCUUCCGUCACAAUUAAUCCCCUCUCUA